GAAGGCUAUGUUGGCCGGGCGACGGUUGUCCCGGUUUAAGCGUGUAGGCUGGUUUUCCAGGCAAAUCCGGAAAAUCAAGGCUGAGGCGUGAUGACGAGGCACUACGGUGCUGAAGCGACAAAUGCCCUGCUUCCAGGAAAAGCCUCUAAGCAUCAGGUAACAUCAAAUCGUACCCCAAACCGACACAGGUGGUCAGGUAGAGAAUACCAAGGCGCUUGAGAGAACUCGGGUGAAGGAACUAGGCAAAAUGGUGCCGUAACUUCGGGAGAAGGCACGCUGAUAUGUAGGUGAAGCGACUUGCUCGUGGAGCUGAAAUCAGUCGAAGAUACCAGCUGGCUGCAACUGUUUAUUAAAAACACAGCACUGUGCAAACACGAAAGUGGACGUAUACGGUGUGACGCCUGCCCGGUGCCGGAAGGUUAAUUGAUGGGGUUAGCGGUAACGCGAAGCUCUUGAUCGAAGCCCCGGUAAACGGCGGCCGUAACUAUAACGGUCCUAAGGUAGCGAAAUUCCUUGUCGGGUAAGUUCCGACCUGCACGAAUGGCGUAAUGAUGGCCAGGCUGUCUCCACCCGAGACUCAGUGAAAUUGAACUCGCUGUGAAGAUGCAGUGUACCCGCGGCAAGACGGAAAGACCCCGUGAACCUUUACUAUAGCUUGACACUGAACAUUGAGCCUUGAUGUGUAGGAUAGGUGGGAGGCUUUGAAGUGUGGACGCCAGUCUGCAUGGAGCCGACCUUGAAAUACCACCCUUUAAUGUUUGAUGUUCUAACGUGGGCCCCUUACCGGGGUUGCGGACAGUGUCUGGUGGGUAGUUUGACUGGGGCGGUCUCCUCCUAAAGAGUAACGGAGGAGCACGAAGGUUGGCUAAUCCUGGUCGGACAUCAGGAGGUUAGUGCAAUGGCAUAAGCCAGCUUGACUGCGAGCGUGACGGCGCGAGCAGGUGCGAAAGCAGGUCAUAGUGAUCCGGUGGUUCUGAAUGGAAGGGCCAUCGCUCAACGGAUAAAAGGUACUCCGGGGAUAACAGGCUGAUACCGCCCAAGAGUUCAUAUCGACGGCGGUGUUUGGCACCUCGAUGUCGGCUCAUCACAUCCUGGGGCUGAAGUAGGUCCCAAGGGUAUGGCUGUUCGCCAUUUAAAGUGGUACGCGAGCUGGGUUUAGAACGUCGUGAGACAGUUCGGUCCCUAUCUGCCGUGGGCGCUGGAGAACUGAGGGGGGCUGCUCCUAGUACGAGAGGACCGGAGUGGACGCAUCACUGGUGUUCGGGUUGUCAUGCCAAUGGCACUGCCCGGUAGCUAAAUGCGGAAGAGAUAAGUGCUGAAAGCAUCUAAGCACGAAACUUGCCCCGAGAUGAGUUCUCCCUGACUCCUUGAGAGUCCUGAAGGAACGUUGAAGACGACGACGUUGAUAGGCCGGGUGUGUAAGCGCAGCGAUGCGUUGAGCUAACCGGUACUAAUGAACCGUGAGGCUUAACCUU
rnacentral:rRNA from 1 species